AUGCCCAACUCUGAACCCCAUGACUGGUGUCCUUGGAGCUGGCAGAGAUCAUUUUGCUCUGAAGACUACAGCCUGGCAGGAGAGCAUCACCUUCUUUCAAGGCUUCGCCUCCUCUGGUGUCAACAGCUUGUGCACCAGCAUGUCAUUGAAGCCACAUUUGCAGAAGAGAGCGCGAUGAGCAGAGCCAGAGCUGAGGGCUGCCUCCCUGCUGCAGGGAUCCUCCUCAGGCCAGGACGGCUUUCAAUCACUCUACCCCUGGACCAGGAAAGCAAGCACCAUGUCUACCCCAGGACAUGGUUCCUUUCAGUUCUGACAUGACUUUUUCUGGAGUCAUUAAAAAUACCAAAUGUGGUUCAAUGCAGCAGUACAGUCAAUGGCAACUGCAUUCCUCUGGUUGCUCAAGGCGAGACCUGGGAACCCUUCUUGACUCCUUCAUUCCCUCACUCCACCCCACAUCCAAUCCAUUAUCCAACCCUGUGAGCACUACUGCAAAAUACCCCUGGAAUCUGACCCCGUCUCACUUCAUCCGCAGUGUCCGCUGGGGCUAAGUUAUCCUCAUCUUCCAUCAAAAUACUUCAAUGGUCUCCAACCCGGUCUCCUCCUACUUGCUGCUCUAUCAUCUCAUCUACAGAGAAGCCAGAGUGAUCUUUUCAAAAUAGUAAGUUAUAUCAUGUCACCCCUCAGCUCAAAAAUCCUCCAGUGGUUCCCCUAUCACGCCAAAGAAAAGGCAAAAGACCUAACAAUUGCUGAGGUGACCCUACAUAUUCCAGCUUGUCACCUCUUCAGUCUCAUCCCCUACCUCUCUCCCCUGACUCACUCUGCUUCAGCCAGACUGGCUUCUUGCUGCAUCCCCAAAACAUCGGGUAUGCCUGUGUCUUAAGGCUUACAUAGGUGCUAUUCCCUCAGCCUGCCAUCCCCUUCGUGCCAAUAUCUUCUUCGUUCAUUCCCUUUGUCCAAAAGUAAUGUUAUCAGAGAGAAGUUGCAUAACCAUCCUCAUGAAAAUAUACCUAGUCUAUCUUUAAGGAACUGACUUUGCUUUAUUUUUCAUAGCACUUACCAUUACCUAAACUAUUUAAGCAUUUGUUUACACAUCAAUUUUUUCCCCUCCUAGAAUAAAAGUUCUAUGAUAGAAAGGUUGUACA
rnacentral:lncRNA from 1 species